rnacentral:rRNA from 1 species
CCUACGGGAGGCUGCAGUGAGGAAUAUUGGUCAAUGGGCGCGAGCCUGAACCAGCCAAGUCGCGUGAGGGAAGACGGUCCUAUGGAUUGUAAACCUCUUUUGUCGGGGAGCAAAAGACGCCACGCGUGGCGUUCCGAGAGUACCCGAAGAAAAAGCAUCGGCUAACUCCGUGCCAGCAGCCGCGGUAAUACGGAGGAUGCGAGCGUUAUCGGGAUUUAUUGGGUUUAAAGGGUGCGCAGGCGGAAGAUCAAGUCAGCGGGAAAAUUGAGAGGCUCAACCUCUUCGAGCCGUUGAAAAUGGUUGUCUGGAGUGAGGGAGAAGUAGGCGGAAUGCGUGGUGUAGCGGUGAAAUGCAUAGAUAGCACGCAGAACUCCGAUUGCGAAGGCAGCAUACCGGCGCUCAACUGACGCUCAUGCACGAAAGUGUGGGUAUCGAACAGGAUUAGAUACCCUUGUAGUC